CCUUUGCUCCAGGACCGGAUGCGGAGCCGGGACUCAGGUGGAGGCAGGAGAAAUACGCACCCUGGGUGCACCUACGAAAGUGGGAAGACGGUGCCUACCCCAAAGCGUCGUGGGAAUGAAAGUCAAUGAAGUGACAUAGGAAAGGUGCCUAGCACAUGGCAGAUUCCUAUCAGGCGAAGGCCGCCUUUCCUGGCCUCCCCCACAGGCCCGCCAGCGAUUCGUCCUUACAAGGCUAGCCUCCACGGGCUGCCCUCUGUGUAAAUAAAGCCACAGACUUCCGCCCACAGGUCGCCGCAGGUCCCGCCCGCAGCGCCGGGCCGCGGGGGAGGCGGGAACUGGUGCUACGGCCGCUACGCAGGCCUCGGGAGGCUCGGAGCCCGCCACGCCCCAGCCCUCUCGCAGGGCCGGGGAGCCACGGGGCCAAAAGGAGGAGCAGGUGGAAGAAAUCCAGGCUCAGACCGUCGGAGUCCCCACCCAUGAGCACCCUUCUCCACUGAUCACUCAGAACAUGGUAGGCCCUAGAGAGACAGCAGCCCGAAUCUUCCCAGAAACCCUGCAGGAGAUUCCUUCUUCCCAUUUUAUAGAAGGGAGGCUGAGGCUCGGCACGUUGAAAUGGCUUGACCAAGGUCCCACAGGCAAAAAAAUGGUACAGCAAGAUAUUGUAACCCAAUAUCUGGCUGCAAAACCCAGUCUCUCCCCAACCCACCUAUCGUCACCGAGAUUGUAAAACUUCUAACCGGGAAGAAUCAAAUACAUGCACAACGGGUUACAGGUUAACAGACAGAUGGGAGCGGAAAGGGACAUUCCAGCGCUUCCCUGGGCGUGUCGCACAGGGCAACUCCAACCACAGGCGAAUUUUCCUGGGUGACAGUUAAACUCCUUUUUGCAUGAAAAAAUACAGAUUCUUAUUAAAACAAUAAUCGAUUAGACUAUAAAACUCUCAAAGUUAUUUCGGAUCAAAAUUAUUUUCGGCUGUUUCCACACCUUUUUUUCUCGAUUGUGCAGAAAUUCUUCACACCGUCUGCACAGAUGGGCAAACUGAGACCCGGACGAGUCCCAUUGAGAGAGAGAGGCAGAGCCGGGGUUGGGAGAAGACUGAGAUUUCUGGGAUCCGGCUUGGGGUGUUUCCGCUGGGUGGGGGCGCCGGUUUGCGAAGAGCUUUCCUCGGACAGCUACUGCUGAUUUUUGUCGCUCAGCCAGCCAAGUGGGGGCGAUUCUGAGUAAUCGCAGGCAAUCAGCGCGGCUGGGGUUAAAAGCGAAAGGGACUCGCGGGCGAACGGCCGGGGAGGGCGGCGGGCACAGAGCCCAGACGCCGGCAAAGGCGGGGCGCCGCCGGGGUUCCCUCGGUGCGAGCGCGCGCGGCACUUCCUGCUUUUGCUCCUCCCUGCGGUCCUGCCGGCCGUUGUAAACUGGCGCUGCGGGCCACACCCGUGUUCCAGGCCCGCUAACCCACCGGCGGCCCCAGAGCCCCAGGCGGCCCCAGAGACCCAGCCUCAAUCCUCAGUCCUCGUACAGUCCUCAGGUCCAAGUUCUGGCCAUAGGAACGCCAGCCAGAUCUGCAGCUCAGCUAGCUGAAUUUCAGGUUCCAGAGACCUGGCCCUUUUCUUCCAUGUAGGGGACAGUCAGGUUCUCUGGCCUGGGUUUUCUAAAAGUACCCAGAGUUGAACUACCUUC
rnacentral:lncRNA from 1 species